CCAGUUAAAGUUGGUCCAGAGGAAGC
rnacentral:piRNA from 1 species